rnacentral:lncRNA from 1 species
GUAAAUACUGACAAGAAAGGGGAAAAUGAAGACUUUACAGUUUUCCUUGUAUUAGAAAAAGAAACAUGAGUUCACCAUAUAAUCAUUGUGAGUUUCCAUAUUCACUCGUUAUUGAUAGAGCACAGGUACUCCAAUAGUUUUGUUGGUACUGAAUCCAUGGAUUGCGUCAAACUGAAAACAACAGGGAAGAACAAUACUAUGUUAAUCACUUAAUAUUGGUAGACAGUAGCAGUUGUAAGUAUUUGCGCUCACAAAAAGGAAGGGGAAGCAUGUACUACCUCCGUUCUCGAAUAUUUGUCGCUCGGUAGUUCAUUUUAACUAAACAACGACAAAUAAAAAAAUGGAGGGAGUACUAAUUUAAGUCUGUACCCACUAAUUUUCAUGUACUACUUCAUAUUUACAUUCUUGUUGUUAACUAAGCCUUCUUUGUUUCCUCAUAUUGCAACAAUUUUGCAACUACCAACUACGACAUUGCUUGAACACAAAAUAUGCUAGAUAGUAGAGGAAUUUAUUCACUAUUGUAGAUGAACCUGAGCAUCAUUGCGCCAAUAGUCUUGUUUUUUCCCCUGAGUAUCAUUGCGCCAAGCUUCGCCCUCGUCUCAGCCGCAUCUGCCACCUUCUCCCAUUCAAUCUUGUCGUCACUGUUGUAGAUGAACCUGGUGUGCUUCCCCUCGAGCUACAGCAACCCGAUAUUCUCCUCCUCUUCAUACAACAUGAGUUUUUUGGAACGAUACUAUCCCCAUCUUUUGGCUUCAGACAAUUAGUAUCCCGAACCAAGCAAUUGGAAUCCUGGUAUUAUAAUGCCAGCAGGUUUGGAUUUUUGCUCUCCUCGUCACUUUUAGCAGUUUAAGAGCGUCAUCGGCUCUGUAACAACGGCAGAGCCCCUCUAUCCUCACUUACCUCGUUCUUCAAAAUGGGUCGCCGACACGCAUUCCACUCUUCUUCCUUCGUCAUCGUAGGCUGACGGCUCUUGGUUCAUGCACUCGUCAGCGGCAAUGGAUCCGCUGCUGCUCAUCCCCCUCGACGAGAUCAUAGGAGAUUGUCUCUAUGCCUUCUACAUCAUAGGAGCUUGUCGUUAUUCCUUUAUCUUCAGAGCUGCUUGUCCCCAUUACUUCUUCUAAACUUGUGCCAGCAGUGGAAUGUUCAGUAGAAGUUGGUUGUGCAAAUUCCCCACCGAGUAGAGUUAGAAGAGAUGUGGAAAAGCUAACUCCAAAGAAGAAGAUCUAGGGAUGCUUGUCCCCAUUAGUUCUUCUGUAAUAUGCUGUAGUGAAUUAGGAAAAUUGAAACCUUUGUUGUAUUUGUGUCCUGAAAACUGAAUGAGGACAGUUGUGUUCAUGUGUAUUUAGUUGGGUAUUUGUGUCCUGAAAGCUAAAUGUUCAGUAGAAGUUGGCUGUGCAAAUUCGGAUGGGUUGUAUUUAUUUGUCCAUGUUGUUAACUGAAUGUUCAGUAGAAAUUGGGUAUGCACCUAUUUCUGUUGAUUGUCGACUAUCCAAAUGUAGCUCAUGAUAGGUUGCUUUGUUCCCGGUAUCUAACUUUUUCAUUCAGUUGAUGGGAGCAGUCCACACAUGCACACAAUCUGAAUUUAGGGCCUCGAAAUGACAAUAAAAAUGAAUGCAGUUCAAUCUGAAUUUAGGUGCAUCCACCACAUCAUUCACCAUAAUGGUACAAACACAAACUAAACAAAGGACACUAGCUAGUUCAAAUUAUAGAAGAUAUAAUCAUUCAACAACAAAGGCCAUUGGCCAGUUCAAAUUACAGAAGACACAACUAAAUUUUUCGAGGCAAUUGGCAGCUUCGGCGGCGGCAAUUGCAGACUUGACAGCUUUGCGGGCAGUGACGCUAGCACGCCUAGCUGCCUCAAGACAAUCAACAACGGCUAAUUGAGCUUUGUCGGACUCCAUGAAAGCGGGCAAUAAGCCAUAGACUGCUCGAAGCCACAGGAGGCGAGGGUGAGGCGGGUAAUAGGAGGACAAUGAACGAGGGUGUCGGAGCCCGAUCUGUUUGGAAGAACGGAGACCGGAAGAGCAAGUUCAUCCACACGAGAAAUGGCUUAGACAGUUAACGGUUGAUUGUUGUAUACGAUGGUAAAACGUGGAACAAUAACAAAAGUCUAAAAGAGACAGUGUUAUAAUACCUGGAUUCCAAUUGCUUCCUUCGGGGUACUAAUUUUUCGAAGCCAAGAUAUGGGGAUACUCUCGUUCCAAAAAAACUCAUCCAACAUGGUCAUCCUGCCGAUCUAAUCUCAUCCUGCCCGGACCUUUUCGGUACCUUCAAAAUACCUUGUUUCUCCUUUCCUCCAUCGGCACGGUACCUGGAGAUGGUGGUGCCAUCGUGAAGUAGUAGGAGGGAGGGUGCAUCAUCGAACUGGGCAGGGGAAGGGUGCCAAUGGCUGAUGUCGACGAGCCACCACCGCACCCCACUCUCAUCUGUCAUCCCCACGACCCCACCCCAAGACUGAGAGUGGAAGCAUCGCCCUCCACCUCGGCCUCCACCUUCGUCGCCACCAUGACCUUGGUUUAGACCCGGAUUGAGGCCUCCGUCGUCGCCGCAGCAGCCUGGACGUGGAUCUUGUCCUCGAUCAUCGCCGCCACAGCCUGGACGCAGAUCUGGAGCGGCUUGGAGCCCAUUCGCACGAAGUUGGAGCUAUGGUGUCGACCUCCAAGCACGCUUCCCCAAACUUUCCUCUUUCGGAUGACGCCCUCUCAUUCACCUCCACGAUCUCCAAGCGUGCAUGCUAGAGAGAAAGGAGGACUAGAUCUAGCGGAGUGGAGGUCGUGGAGAGGUAGCGUGCGGGCGUGGACCGAAGAUGGUGCAGAGGUUGCGAGGAGGAAGGCACCGCCACGUCUCGGGAGACUGAAGCGAGGGAGUGCUUGAAGGGAGAGGUGGAGGGAGGCCCGCUGGACAGGGAUAGCGACAGAGGGAGACUCGAACGUCAGGCUGGGCCGGGGCUAGAGGCGUGCGACCUGCUAGGCAUGUGACGUGGGCCGCGCCAAAUAAGUUGCUGGCUGCUGUCGUCAUCACGACUUGCAAAAUAUAGUACCAUACUGACCAGCCAACAAUCGCGGUACCAGCUUAUAAGCUGUGUUGCUUUAGAAGAAGCAAUCGUGGUCAAAUUCUCUUGCCAGUCUCUACACCUCGAUUUUUUGCGAUGGGAAUGGGAGCCUCGGUGUCGAGGAGAGGCUGUCACGUGGGCCCACAUGUACAGGGAGAAUGGCAGAAUAGCGGGGGGAUCGCGGAUGGGAAUGGCAGAACAGAUGGGAAUAACAGAACUGGGAUGGUGGCAGAACAAGGAAUGACAGACUACUUUUAGAGCCUUAAUAAGUAGUAGAGAUUGUUAGGUAAUCUGUUAAGUUACUAGUUGUGGAAUAGAUACCUAAAUUACUUAUUGUUGUUCAUAAUUUAUUUUUGGAAUUUAAUAUAGAAAAUAUCUAAUUACUCAACAAGCCCGACCUCCACGCGUCUCCGCCUCUUCGACGAGCUCACUCGAAGCCUCUUCCAUGGCUGAUGCUUGCGUGGCCACCUCGGCGUUGACCAGUUCUUGAGGGGUUUGACGUAGCGGCGAAGCUCAAGAUAAUCACGGAGGUCAGGGUGUUGACGAAGGCGCCCACUGUGCUGAGAGGCUAGACUUCUCAAGGAGGAGGAAGAUAGUAUCUUCGAGAAGAUGCGAGCGGUCGACGCAAAGGUUGUUCUCGAGGAAGGCAACGAGAGUUGACCCGCGUGCAAACUGUUGAUGUGCCAUCUAACGGUGGGCCGGCGGCCGUGGAGCUUUGCCCCCGCUAAGGGCUGAUUUGGUAACAAGGGAUCACGGGAGGAUUGAAGGGAAUUGAAGGAGAAAUUAUUUCAUUUCCCCCUUAAUCCCCUCCAAUCCCUCCGUGAUCCCCUUAUCACCAAAUCAACCCUAAUAGGAAUGAGAUAUCUGGCUCCCGUUGGAACCAGGACAUACGGCUGAUAUUAAAGCGCAAGACUUGGCCGCAUGAGCAUCAAGUUGUGCAUAUACAAGGUGGGUGGCCCAUCUAAAAGCUUAUUAAAGUCCUGUUUGUUUUAAAUUAUAAUUUAGUCAGAUUAUAUAAUCUAACAUAAAUAAUCCGAAGAGUAAACAAACAUCUAGAUUAUAUGUCCAGAUUAGAUAAUCAAAUACUCAGAUUAUUAUAAUCAUAUAAUCUUCUCAAGAGUAGCUUAUUUAAAAUUAUUUUUGAUAAAAUACACACUGCCCAUGCUUAUGUGAAUUGAAAUUACGUUAAUCUGCCACCCUCUUUUUCACCCAUCGGUAUCUCAAAGUCCCGCUGGCUGGGAGUCCACACUGCCGCCGCUGCUUGGAGUCCACACCGCCACCCCGUCGUUGCAUUGUACCGCCGCUCCCCAGCCCCAUCUAUAGAUAUCCAAAUGGGUGGGCUGUACCAGUUAGGCCCGGCACGGAUUAGGACCGUGCCGACCCGGCCCGGAUUGGAACCGUGCCGGUCCGCUUCGAAUUAGCUAGCGGGUCGUGUCGUAUCGGCCCAUGAGCCCCGAGCGAGGCCAGGCACGGCACGCUAGGUUAAUAAUCGUGACAGGUCGGCCCACGGCCUAACGGGCCUAUAACAGUAUAUGAUGCUUAAAUGAUAAAAAUAUCCUAAAAUAUGUAUAUUUUAGGGUUUAAACCAUAUUUAUUAGCUCUAAAUAUUUAUUUACACCCAUAUAACUAACAAAAAUACAUGUUUCUUAGGGAUGAAAACGGUCGGAAACGGUCGGUAAACACUAAAACCAUUACCGUUUUCAUAUUUUUUAUCGGAAACAAAAUCGAAAACGGUAACUCCGGAAACGGAAAUGAUAUCGGUAUUUCGGAAACGAAAGUUCGGUGCGGAAAAUACACCGGUAACGGUCGAAAUCUAAAAUACGAUCGGUAAACAUAUCAAACUUCACAAUAAAACAAAAUUGACAAAAGAUCACAAAUACCACAAGUUCACAAUUCAUGAUAUAACAAGUUCAUAAGGAUCACAAAUUUAUAAUAUAAAAAGUUUACAAAGAUCAUAAGUUCACAAUAUAACAAGUUCACAGUAUAACAAGUUCAUAAAGAUCACAAGUUCACAGACUCAAAUUUUACAAUAUCCACUCGAUUUAGUUGACAUGACAUGCUUACUCAUGAAACAUUUUUUCCUCACAUAAAGGGUUUUUUCACAGCCUCACAGGAAAACCCUAAAAUCUAGUGUGUGGAAAAGACAGACUGUCGGCUCUCUAUCAUUAUAUAUUACUAAUACAUAACAUGUGCAUAGAAAAUGGUGGAUUCGUUCGAGAGACCAAAUCGUUAAUCUCAACUGCCUUCCAAUACCAUCUAACCCCAAAAAAAUCUUAAAGCGUCCAAAAAAAUACAAAAAUAAGUAAUCCUUAUCCAGAGAUGUACAGGCGAUGCGAAAAAAAUCACAUGCUGGAAAAUUCCGAAAAAAAUUCCGAAAAAAUUCCGAGACACAAUUCCGGAAAUUUUCGAGACACAAAUCCGGUAAUUUCCGACAAAAACCGGUAACCGAUGAAAACGGUCGGUAAAACAUCACGCCGAUUCCGAUACCGAUUCCGACAGAAAAUUCCGAAAACCGAUUCCGUUUUCGAAAAAUACCGUUACCGGUGAAUCCGAUCGAAAAAUUUCGAAAUCGGUUUCCGGAAUUCCGAAAAAUUCCGAAACCGUUUUCAUCCCUAAUGUUUCUUAUGUUUUAUAAUAUAUAUAUUCAAGUAUAAUAUAUAUAUUUAUAUGAAAAAUAGAAAAAAAUAAAACUGGGUCGUGUCGGAGCUAGCCCGCCGUGCCACACCUUUGGCCUAGGCACGGCCCGGUGAUCAGGUCAGGCCGGCAUGUGCCCGGUUUACAACGUGUCGUGCCGAGUUCGGGCGAGGCCAAACCCGUGCCGGAUUUCAGGCCGGCCGGCAAACCAGGCCCGUUUGAACAUGUAUAGCCCCAUCCUAGGUGCUCGCUCUCUAGCCCAUGCCACUCCGCGCAACAGGUCAUCCUCGUCCACGAUCUCUUCGUCAUUUCUUCCUCCUUGCUCUCGCAGUCUCGCGUCCGUUGCACGCUUCCUUUAUCUAGUUUGGCACCAUCCUUCAAUUUCUCCUUACAUUUUCGAUUGAUUGGUGUGUAUUAAAGGGGAUUAACUUUGUCUCUUCAAGGGGAUUAACAUUGUACCAUAGUCUUGUCCGUAUUCGGAUUUCAGAUUCCAAUCCCCUUCUUCUUAGGGUUCAAGUUCUUCGUCUGUGACAUGCGUCGGAAAAAAUGUCAUUUCCCUUUCCAUUUUUUAAACCAGUGGCCGCAUAUUGAAUGACAUUAGGAUUUAAUUUUUCAAGGAGAUUAACAUUGUAUUUUUGAUAAUUCGUACCCUCGUCCAUUUUGGGAAUUCAUAAUCUAAUCCCCUCCUCCUGCGUGGACAAAUGCAGCAUUAGUGCUUUCUAAUUCCUUCGAACUAUUGCUGAAGAUCUAUGUUUGUGUGUGAUUUCUUAAUCCAGCCUGAACUAAUUCAUGUUUCUGAAAACUUGAAAAGAUAAAAAUUCACUUUGCUUUCUUUUGUUGAGACCUUAGUUAUUCAUCUUUACACCUGAAAAUAGAAUAAAAUUUCCUAAACUUCAACACUUUCCAAAGCCGUGCAUCUUAAUUAAAAAUCAACAUAUCCUUUGUUAUAUGGUUGUUUUACCAUUUGACAGUGCCAUAUAUAGGUAACUCACUAACUUAUUUUUGGGAUCACAGUGAUGUACGAAAAAUGUUAGACCAGAGCAUAAGGCUGUCUCCAGCAACGUCCCCUAAAUUUCAUCCUCUAAAAGAAUAUUCUCUGUCCUUUACAGCACACUCUAAAAGAUUACAUCCUCUAUAUAUUCUUCUUCUCCAGCAACAUCCUCUAAAUUUGGUCCUCUAUAUAUACAGUGUUACCAGAUUUCACAAUAUACAAUUCUUUUUACCGGUGGAUCCUAAAAAUCGUCUGUGACUACUAAAAAUUCCUGCUACUGUUCGGUCAGAAAUUAGAACAUUAUUGUCAAGGAACACAAUACUUUUAACAGGAAACAUCCACCGUAGAUUUAAAAAACUGUGCAUGAAACACAAAAUUAGGGGAAAAUCAGUUGUUUCUGUUUUGGUUAGUUUCCUGUGACUUAUCACCAAUGACAAAAUAAUCAUCAAUUUAUUAAUGGGAAGUUCCUUAGAAGCUAGCAACCAUUCAAAGGGGAAGGAGGACGAUUGGCUAGGAUCCAGAGCAUUCGGAGUUCUUGAGAAGCUAGCAACCAUUCAAAGGGGAAGGAGGAUGAUUGGCUAGGAUCCAGGGCAUUCGGAGUUCCUGAGAAGCUAGCAACCAUUCAAAGGGGAAGUGAGAGGCUAGCAACCAUUCAAAGGGGAAGAGGACGAUUGGCUAAGAUCUACCGAAUUGAAGGAGGAUGAUGCCACCGUCGGGUGGUUGCUGCUUGGAAACCAACGGAUGCGAGCCGUCCUCACCUAGAUCAGGGCGACUCCGGCAGCCUGGUCCUAGCUUCGCGUCCGACAUCCUUGCCGCGAGCGCGCCGACGACAUGGUGGAGAUGGU